rnacentral:rRNA from 1 species
CGGGUGAGUAACACGUGGAUAACCUACCUAUAAGACUGGGAUAACUUCGGGAAACCGGAGCUAAUACCGGAUAAUAUUUUGAACCGCAUGGUUCAAAAGUGAAAGACGGUCUUGCUGUCACUUAUAGAUGGAUCCGCGCUGCAUUAGCUAGUUGGUAAGGUAACGGCUUACCAAGGCAACGAUGCAUAGCCGACCUGAGAGGGUGAUCGGCCACACUGGAACUGAGACNCGGUCCAGACUCCUACGGGAGGCAGCAGUA